rnacentral:rRNA from 2 species
UCUGUUCCCGGACCACUCCUGGCUGAGGGUCGUGUCUAUUUCAAAGACUGCUCGG